UAGCCUCGAUUCCAAGCCGCUGAGAAAGGCGGCCUGGUAUACACUGUUUACGCAUGCGCCAGAAUUACCAAGAAUCUUGGUAAUCGUAAAUUGCAGUAUAUUUAUCAGUAUUCUUAUUCCGCAUUAGUUUGUAAAACAUUGAUAUCCGUUUCAUUUAUAAUGAUGUCAUUGAAAAAAGAAAUCUAGUCCAAGUUGUGUAAUGGCUGCUACCUUCUCUUCUGCUCUUGUGUACGCGUUAUCCUGUGUUGGAAUACCAGGUCUAGUCUUGAAAGACAAGCAGCUGGAGGCGUUGAAGUGUCUGUACGCUGGUGUUUAUGUGGGUACCGUACCGACCGGCUAUGGCAAGUCGCAGAGCAAGUCCAUCUGCUUUCCAGACACUCCCUUUCUUGAUUGAUGUGAAGCUUGACAAGACCAGUGCACCUCUCUCUGAAAGAAGUGUUGUGAUGGUGAUUUCUCCUCUUGUUUCUCUGAGUGAAGCCAUCUUCAAAGUGUUGGUGUGUCUGUUCGACGUUCAGUGCCAUUUCUCUCUGGAAGGAAGUAUUGUUGUGACAUUUGCCGAAAAUUGGUCACAGAGUAAGUACGUGGUAUCUGAUCCGAGAACUGUGUGGCCUGAAUGUGUUUACAAUCCGAGGGACUUGUGUGUAUCCGAUCCGAGGGACUUGUUGCUUGAGUGUGUAUCCGGACUUGUUGCUUGAGUGUGUAUUAAUGGAUAGUGCUUUCAAUGGUUUAACUAAUUUCUUAUGAGAUUAACUUGUCGCCUGAGUGUGUAUCCGAUCCGAGCCUCAAGUUAAUGAAUAAAUCUACAGAGCUGAUGUUUUACUUAGCUGUCUCUGUCUACAGUAUAUGCAGAGAGGUAGCCUCUUCUUUUUCUUUUUUCUGUUCUUUAUCACAAUAAGAUAAAAUACUGUUUUAACGUUCAAUGAGAUAAAUACGGUAAAUAAUAAA